rnacentral:rRNA from 1 species
UACGGAGGAUGCAAGCGUUAUCCGGAUUUAUUGGGUUUAGAGGGUGCGCAGGUUGUUUGAUAAGUCAGUGGAGAAAGUCUGUCGCUUAACGGUAGGAUUGCCAUUGAUACUGUUGGACUUGAAUAUGGAUGAGGUAGGCGGAAUGUGUAGUGUAGCGGUGAAAUGCAUAGAUAUUACACAGAACACCGAUUGCGAAGGCAGCUUACUAAUCCAUCAUUGACGCUGAGGCACGAAAGCGUGGGGAUCAAA